ACAUGGAAGCAAUGAAGACCAGAAGUCUUGUGUUCAAAUCACAUUAAAAGUUAUCUCGCUCACGAAUAAAGAUGCCUUGAGUGACAGCCGCCGAUGCAGCUUUGGAUUGGCAACGUUAAAACAAUCCAACAUACAAGGAGAAAGAUAUAUUAACUCCAAAACGACAUAUUUACAAGUUCGUUACCGCACAGUUGACCUGCAUAACCGAGUUUUAUCGAAGCAGGCUCAUCUUGAAAUGCUCUAUAGAACCAACGCAUGUGAUCCACGUUAAGCGGAUGCAGACGCUACGCCACCUACUCUGCUACUUACGAGUAUGUUGGUACGAAGCUGUCUCCGUGAAUUCCCGGUGAUAUUUUGAUAUCUCGUCACACAACAAAUGACGUCACCGCGGUGGUUCUAUAUGAGCAAAUAUUGAAAAAGAAAAUUAGGCGAGACGAAAGAACUGCCGGCGAAAGAAAAACGAAGAAAACCGACAAAGACGGGACGAAUAGCUUUUACAGAAAAGAGACAAAAUCGGACGGAAAGCUAAAGUACGAAAAUGGAGCCAUAGCAUACCCAGACUAGGAUUUAUUCUUAGUCGAUGUAAAUACUAACUUAUGUGAGCUGUAGCAUAAAAA